GCCCGUAACUUUCUUGCAAAGCAUCCCUGACACCUCCAGGAGAGGGGCUCCCCUGGAAAGUUCUGCCGGUUUUCAUCAAAUGAAACUUUAGUUAGAGGAUUCUUGUCCGGGACGGAUUUUGGCAAGAAACCCUUCUACUUCUUUAUAAGCACGAAUCCUCCGGAAGUUCGAUUCCUGAACCAAGAAGAAUCGCCUGAGAUCGAUCCAUGGAGGGAGAGCAAGCCAAGGUCAAGCUUUUGGCUGUGGCGGAAGAACUUGGUCAUGAGAUACGUGUAUUCACAAACUCAGCAACUUCUGCAGCAUCCAAAGAAAUGUCUGCUUCUUCAAAUGAGGAACCGGAUGAUUUCUAUGAUCUUACUCCUGAAGAUUAUUAUCAAAUCAUGUCAGACAGAAUAGGAGCCCAAUCCCAAGUUUUAAAGACCCGUAAAAUGCGGGAAGCAGAGGCAGAAGCCCGCAGGGCAAGGAUCACCAAGGCUGUAAUCAGGGUUCACUUCCCUGAUAAUUACAUUCUUGAGGCAAAGUUUCAGCCAUCAGAGAAAAUUGAAAGCUUGAUGCAUCUUCUCAUGAAAGUUCUUGCUCGACCAGACUUGCCAUUCUAUUUAUUUACAACUCCUCCUAAGGAGCGAAUCAAAGACACUUCAAAGGAUUUCUAUUCGGCUGGCUUUGCUCCUGGAGCUAUAGUUUACUUUUCUUAUGACCUGCCGAAAGAUAAAGAGUCUGAUGGUGCAGUUGCAAAGACAGGGCCUUACCUUCGUGAUGAUAUCUUGUCUUUGAAUGGAUUGGAUUUUACUUCUGAAAAGGUGGAUCCUGUCACUUCUGAACCAGAACCUCCAGCAGUGGAGACGUCCCCUGCUGUACCUGAUCCUAAGCCACCUGUGAAGAAGCCAACUAAACCAAAGUGGCUUAAAUUGUGAAAGAUUGAAAGGACAAGGAUGAUGCACAAGAUUAUAUGCACAAGGUUCUUUCCAUAUUUAUGAGCUAUUGGAGAGUGGUAUCUCCACUGCUUGGUCGAGUUUGAUUAGAUGGAGAAAAGAUUAAGUCUGGUGGCACAGAAUUAAAUUACAUCACUCAGAAAUGUGAUAGGGUUUGGACCUUGACGCAUGGUAAUAAAGGAUUGGUACUUCAGGGCAAUGUAUAUUAUGAGCUGACCAAGACGAAGGGAUAUUAUGAGUCUCCAUCUAAUUUCACUGUUGUGGGUGGUGUUGCGCUUAAACAAGUUCAGAAGGAACUUUCAAAGGAUGCCCGCUUCAGAAUGAUGUUACAACAGAUUCACUUGAUGUUGUAUGGAUAGACUGUUAUUUUACGAGAUGUCUUCGGACUUCGUCUGUUCCCAGUGGAAAAUGCUUCUCCUUAUCAUUUUGUUCCUAUGCUGAUAUUAUCCAAGUUAAAUUCUCAAGGAUACUUGAUCUUUUUAACAUGUGUCACUGGUUAUUGUGCUAAAAAAAUGUUCAAAAGAUGAAAAUAAAGCAAAAAUAUUUGAAAUCCUGUCA